CCUACGGGAGGCAGCAGUGAGGAAUAUUGGUCAAUGGACGUAAGCCUGAACCAGCCAAGUCGCGUGAGGGAUGAAGGUUCUAUGGAUCGUAAACCUCUUUUAUGAGGGAAUAAAGUGUGGGACGUGUCCUAUUUUGUAUGUACCUUAUGAAUAAGGAUCGGCUAACUCCGUGCCAGCAGCCGCGGUAAUACGGAGGGUCCGCGCGUUAUCCGGAUUUAUUGGGUUUAAAGGGUGCGUAGGCGGCCUUUUAAGUCAGCGGUGAAAGUCCGUGGCUCAACCAUGGAAUUGCCGUUGAAACUGGGGGGCUUGAGUAUGCUUGAGGCAGGCGGAAUGCGUGGUGUAGCGGUGAAAUGCUUAGAUAUCACGCAGAACCCCGAUUGCGAAGGCAGCCUGCCAAGCCAUGACUGACGCUGAUGCACGAAAGCGUGGGGAUCAAACAGGAUUAGAUACCCCGGUAGUC
rnacentral:rRNA from 1 species